AUUGAACGCUGGCGGCAGGCCUAACACAUGCAAGUCGAGCGGUAGCACAGGAGAGCUUGCUCUCUGGGUGACGAGCGGCGGACGGGUGAGUAAUGUCUGGGAAACUGCCUGAUGGAGGGGGAUAACUACUGGAAACGGUAGCUAAUACCGCAUAACGUCUUCGGACCAAAGUGGGGGACCUUCGGGCCUCACGCCAUCAGAUGUGCCCAGAUGGGAUUAGCUAGUAGGUGGGGUAAUGGCUCACCUAGGCGACGAUCCCUAGCUGGUCUGAGAGGAUGACCAGCCACACUGGAACUGAGACACGGUCCAGACUCCUACGGGAGGCAGCAGUGGGGAAUAUUGCACAAUGGGCGCAAGCCUGAUGCAGCCAUGCCGCGUGUGUGAAGAAGGCCUUCGGGUUGUAAAGCACUUUCAGCGAGGAGGAAGGGUAGUGUGUUAAUAGCACAUUGCAUUGACGUUACUCGCAGAAGAAGCACCGGCUAACUCCGUGCCAGCAGCCGCGGUAAUACGGAGGGUGCAAGCGUUAAUCGGAAUUACUGGGCGUAAAGCGCACGCAGGCGGUUUGUUAAGUCAGAUGUGAAAUCCCCGCGCUUAACGUGGGAACUGCAUUUGAAACUGGCAAGCUAGAGUCUUGUAGAGGGGGGUAGAAUUCCAGGU
rnacentral:rRNA from 1 species